rnacentral:rRNA from 1 species
CAUGCAGUCGAGCGGAACGAGUUAUCUGAACCUUCGGGGAACGAUAACGGCGUCGAGCGGCGGACGGGUGAGUAAUGCCUAGGAAAUUGCCCUGAUGUGGGGGAUAACCAUUGGAAACGAUGGCUAAUACCGCAUGAUGCCUACGGGCCAAAGAGGGGGACCUUCGGGCCUCUCGCGUCAGGAUAUGCCUAGGUGGGAUUAGCUAGUUGGUGAGGUAAGGGCUCACCAAGGCGACGAUCCCUAGCUGGUCUGAGAGGAUGAUCAGCCACACUGGAACUGAGACACGGUCCAGACUCCUACGGGAGGCAGCAGUGGGGAAUAUUGCACAAUGGGCGCAAGCCUGAUGCAGCCAUGCCGCGUGUGUGAAGAAGG